rnacentral:tRNA from 2 species
GCCGGGGUGGUGGAAUGGCAGACACGAAGGCCUUAAGAGCCUUUAUCCGCAAGGAUGUGUGGGUUCGACUCCCACCCUCGGUA